UACGUAGGGUGCAAGCGUUGUCCGGAAUUAUUGGGCGUAAAGAGCUCGUAGGCGGUCUGUCGCGUCGGAUGUGAAAAUCCAGGGCUCAACCCUGGACCUGCAUUCGAUACGGGCAGACUAGAGUUCGGUAGGGGAGACUGGAAUUCCUGGUGUAGCGGUGGAAUGCGCAGAUAUCAGGAGGAACACCAACGGCGAAGGCAGCUCGCUGGGACGGUACUGACACUGAGGCGCGAAAGCGUGGGGAGCGAACAGG
rnacentral:rRNA from 1 species